rnacentral:rRNA from 1 species
AGUGAACGCUGGCGGUAGGCCUAACACAUGCAAGUCGAACGGCAGCACAGUAAGAGCUUGCUCUUACGGGUGGCGAGUGGCGGACGGGUGAGGAAUACAUCGGAAUCUACUUUUUCGUGGGGGAUAACGUAGGGAAACUUACGCGAAUACCACAUACGACCUACGGGUGAAAGCAGGGGAUCUUCGGACCUUGCGCGAUUGAAUGAGCCGAUGUCGGUUUAGCUAGUUGGCGGGCUAAAGGCCCACCAAGGAGACGAUCCGUAGCUGUUCUGAGAGGAUGAUCAGCCACCUUGGAACUGAGCCACGGUCAUGACUCCUCCGGCAGGAACGAGUGGGGAAUAUAGGACAACGGGCGCAAGCCUGAUCCAGCCAUACCGAGUGGCUGAAGAAGGCCUUAGGGUUGUAAAGCCCUUCUGUUGCGAAAGAAAAGCAGCAGGUUAAGACCCCGCUGUUCUGACGGUACCCAAAGAAUCAGCACCGGCUAACUUCGUG